rnacentral:rRNA from 1 species
CACGUAGGGGGCAAGCGUUGUCCGGAUUUAUUGGGCGUAAAGAGCUCGUAGGUGGUUCGGUAAGUCGGGUGUUAAACCCCCAGGCUCAACCUGGGGACGCCACUCGAUACUGCUGUGACUAGAGUCCGGUAGGGGAGCGUGGAAUUCCUGGUGUAGCGGUGAAAUGCGCAGAUAUCAGGAGGAACACCGGUGGCGAAGGCGGGUCUCUGGGCCGAUAUUGACGCUGAGGAGCGAAAGCGUGGGGAGCGAACAGG